rnacentral:rRNA from 1 species
GACGAACGCUGGCGGCGUGCCUAAUACAUGCAAGUCGAACGCUUCUUUCCUCCCGAGUGCUUGCACUCAAUUGGAAAGAGGAGUGGCGGACGGGUGAGUAACACGUGGGUAACCUACCCAUCAGAGGGGGAUAACACUUGGAAACAGGUGCUAAUACCGCAUAACAGUUUAUGCCGCAUGGCAUAAGAGUGAAAGGCGCUUUCGGGUGUCGUUGAUGGAUGGACCCGCGGUGCAUUAGCUAGUUGGUGAGGUAACGGCUCACCAAGGCCACGAUGCAUAGCGGACCGGGGGGGGGAUUGGGCCACCUGGGGCUGGAGACAGGGCCCGAACCCUAAGGGGAGCCGGCGGAGGGAAAUUUUGGGCAUUGGCGGAAGUUUGAACGAGGCACGGCGGGUGAGUGAAGAAGGUUUUUGGGUUGGAAAACUCCGGUGGUAGAGAAGAACAAGGACGUUAGUAACUGAACGUCCCCUGACGGUAUCUAACCAGAAAGCCACGGCUAACUACGUG